CGUACACUCCUGCGGGAGGCAGCAGUGGGGAAUAUUGGACAAUGGGCGCAAGCCUGAUCCAGCCAUGCCGCGUGAGUGAUGAAGGCCCUAGGGUUGUAAAGCUCUUUCACCGGUGAAGAUAAUGACGGUAACCGGAGAAGAAGCCCCGGCUAACUUCGUGCCAGCAGCCGCGGUAAUACGAAGGGGGCUAGCGUUGUUCGGAUUUACUGGGCGUAAAGCGCACGUAGGCGGACUAUUAAGUCAGGGGUGAAAUCCCGGGGCUCAACCCCGGAACUGCCUUUGAUACUGGUAGUCUUGAGUUCGAGAGAGGUGAGUGGAAUUCCGAGUGUAGAGGUGAAAUUCGUAGAUAUUCGGAGGAACACCAGUGGCGAAGGCGGCUCACUGGCUCGAUACUGACGCUGAGGUGCGAAAGCGUGGGGAGCAAAUAGGAUUAGAAACCCGAGUAGUCCCAUG
rnacentral:rRNA from 1 species